AACUUUGGACAAUGGGGGCAACCCUGAUCCAGCCAUUCCGCGUGAGUGAAGAAGGCCUUCGGGUUGUAAAGCUCUUUCGGCAGGAACGAAACGGUGGAGGCUAAUACCUUUCAUCAAUGACGGUACCUGAAGAAGAAGCACCGGCUAACUACGUGCCAGCAGCCGCGGUAAUACGUAGGGUGCGAGCGUUAAUCGGAAUUACUGGGCGUAAAGCGUGCGCAGGCGGCUCACUAAGACAGAUGUGAAAUCCCCGGGCUUAACCUGGGAACUGCGUUUGUGACUGGUGGGCUGCAGUGUGGCAGAGGGGGGUGGAAUUCCACGUGUAGCAGUGAAAUGCGUAGAGAUGUGGAGGAACACCGAUGGCGAAGGCAGCCCCCUGGGUUGACACUGACGCUCAUGCACGAAAGCGUGGGGAGCAAACAGGAUUAGAUACCCUGGUAGUCCACGCCCUAAACGAUGCCAACUAGGUGUUGGAGAAGGAGACUUCUUUAGUACCGUAGCUAACGCGUGAANUUGGCCGCCUGGGGAGUACGGUCGCAAGAU
rnacentral:rRNA from 1 species